UACGUAGGUGGCAAGCGUUGUCCGGAUUUACUGGGCGUAAAGGGUGCGUAGGUGGUGGGGUAAGUCGGAUGUGAAAUCUCCGAGCUCAACUCGGAAACUGCAUUGGAAACUACCCUGCUAGAGGGUCGGAGGGGGGACUGGAAUACUUGGUGUAGCAGUGAAAUGCGUAGAUAUCAAGUGGAACACCAGUGGCGAAGGCGAGUCCCUGGACGACUCCUGACACUGAGGCACGAAAGCUAGGGGAGCAAACAGG
rnacentral:rRNA from 1 species